UAUGACGGUCUCCUACUGACGUGUCGCACUCGACGAUUAUUGAGGGGAAAAACACAGGUCUUGUUUUUCCUGCUACUUCUGUAACCCGACAGGUAUUACCCACGGACUGAACCAUGUCAGAGCCCAGCAAGCAAGAGAUUUCAACCAUCUUUAAGCGACUUCGCUCCAUUCCUUCGAACAAGGUUUGCUUUGACUGCUCGGCGAAAAACCCGAGUUGGGCCAGCAUCACCUAUGGGGUGUUCCUCUGUAUAGAUUGCUCUGGGACUCACAGGUCUCUUGGGGUGCACCUGUCCUUCAUCAGGUCCACGGAGCUGGAUUUUAAUUGGUCCUGGUUUCAGCUGAGGUGUAUGCAAGUGGGAGGCAAUGCCAGUGCGAUUUCAUUUUUCAACCAACACGGUUGCACAACAAGCGCCGCAAAUUCCAAAUACAACAGCCGAGCCGCUCAGCUGUACAGAGACAAGAUAAAGACUUUAGGCACACAGGCCACCAGAAGUCAUGGCACCGAGCUGUGGCUCGACAGUCAGGCUCCUCUCUCCCCAACAUCACCAGAGGACAAGCAGGUGGAUUUCUUCAGUCUGCUUUCACAGUCUGAACCUGAAAACUUGAACAUUGGCAAAAUGAGUCUAAGCUCGACCUUAUCAGAGAGGCCUUCAACUCCGGUUAAAGAGGAGAAUGGAAAUGGCAAUCCAGAGGAGGGUCCAAGCGUGGAUAUGCUUAGUAUGUCUCCAAAAGCAAAUCUAGAUAUCCCGUCUCUUCUUAAGAAGAAGCCGGCCGCUGCCAAGAAAACCUUGGCCUCUAAGAAAGGCGGUCUUGGCGCUCAGAAGGUGAGCAGCAAGAGUUUCUCCGAGCUGGAGAAGAAAGCUCAAGCUGCCGACAAGCUCAGAGAGAAAGAGGGGGGCCCGGCGUCCACCAAGAAAAACACCCAACUUGAGGAAUCCAUCACUCCAUCUAUGCGACUGGCCUAUAAGGAUUUUGAGCAGCAGAGGAAAGUGGAGGAGAAGAAGUUUAAAGGAUUUGAGGGGAAUAAGAAGGAACAAGCUGAGAGACUGGGCAUGGGACUGGGCAGCAGAGGCGAGAUGUCUCACUCGGUGACGUCGGACAUGCACAUGAUCCAGCAGGAGACUCCUGUGGGGGCCAAAAGCAAGAAAGGGCGACGGUUCAAUGACGACGACGAUGAUGAAGGAUCCUUCAGCCCCAGGGUCUCGUCUCGAUACGAGAAUGAAGCAGAGACGUCUGAUAGUUUUUCAGCGCGGUGGGAAAGUAGAGGUGAGGUCGAAGGCUGGAUGAAGGAGAGCAAGAAACCAGAGCCGGACUUCUACCUGACCUCCACGAUCUCAUCACUGGACGACAGGUCCACAUCCAGAAGAAAACCAGAACCGGUCUCGGACUCGGGGGAAGCUCAGAAAAAGUUUGGAGUUGAUGUGAAAUCCAUCUCUUCAGACAUGUACUUUGGGAAACAAGAUAACUCUGAGUACGAGGCCAAAACCCGACUGGAGAGAUUCUCUGGGAGUUCCUCUAUAAGCUCAGCGGACCUGUUUGAAGAUCAGAAGAAACAGGCUGCGAGUUCCUACCGUCUGACCAACGUGCUGCCCAGCGCUCCUGACAUGUCCCAGCUCAAACUGGGAGUGCGCUCUGUUGCGGGGAAACUCUCCGUCAUGGCCAGUGGUGUCGUGAACUCUAUUCAGGAUCACUACAGUACUUGAGUCGUGCUGCUCCUCCUCUUGGAUUCAGCAGCCUCAUCAUCCUCCUCCUCUGUUUUACAGAGUCUGAGAAGCUUUGCAGUGAGUAUCAAUAAGUGCUGUGGACAAAUCUUCUCUAUAAAAGACCCCCAGAUAUCCCUGUAAACAUCUCUAUCUAGUUUUAUAUUGGAUAAUGUACAUAGAAAAGUUGCUACAAUCAAGAUGGUGGAAGCACAAUAUUUCAUGGGGAGUUAUAUUCCCCCGUCGGCAUCUUGAAGGGACAUUAAUGUGUAUAAUUCAGAAAUGAAGAACAUUCAGUUUGCAGUUUAUUACUUUCUUUGCUUUGUGGUCUUGAGUUAUAAAUGUUUAGCAAUGCUGUAUGUAGCAGGAGCCGUGUCCUUUAGGUGAUGAGUUAAAAAAAAAAAAAGAAUCCUCAGCAGUGUAGCGGAAUAAGUUGUACCUUUUUUUUUUUUUUUUUUUAAAUGGUUACAAUUGUUCAUUACGCACAGCGUGGGGUCCUAUUGUUCUUUUUCUUUUUUUGCACAUCGCUGAAGGUUUGAAAGUGUCCUUUCUGUCCCAAAAGUGCACUUAUGUUUGCUUUUCCACAGACGGGACCAAAAGCUGAUACAGAGGCCUUGGGGGUAGCUUAAUGUUCAUACGUC